rnacentral:lncRNA from 1 species
ACCUGGAGUAAGAACAAUUCCGUAUAUUUAUCCCGUUGGAAACUUUCGUGGAGUGAACUUAGACCCAAAAUUGGAUUUAGGCUUCUGCGUUUUCAAACUUGUGGAACGAAAUUGGCCUGAUUUUUCUGAAAAUUUGGACGAAAAUUGCUUCAAUUGAAGCUUUUGUUUGAAAAUAGAAAUGCUUCUGCUUUUUAAUUAUUCUUGGCAUCUAAAGUCAAAAGCAGAUUGAUAAAGAGACCAAAGAAAAUCAUUUUGUCUUGCCUUUCAAUUUUCAAGAUUUGUACGUGUAGAUAGGGAAUCUCAUGCCUAAUGACUCAUCAAGAUUUUGUUUCCACUUUGGCUUAGAUUAGUGCCAAGAGGCAGUGCAAAAAGGAUAUUUAUUCACUUAAUACUAAUUAAUUAGAUAAUGUCUCGUUACCCAGUAGUUAAUCAAUUACCCGCAACAUUUGAAAAUUAUUCCCACUUACUUAAAAGAUUACUCUCUUUUAACAUAUCUUGUACACCUUAGUAGCAUGGCCAUGUAGUACCUUGUAUGGUACUAGUUCAUAAAUAUCGGGUAUUUUAGCUCGGGCCGUAUUUUGUUCCAAAAUACCAAACUUUGACAAAAUUUGUUUUCUUAGACUUGCUCCCCCUUUCACCUUCAUGAAUUUAUUAAUUACUUGUAAAAUAGCAUAAUCUUUAUAAUUCACAAAUAAUCUUUUCCUUGGACUGAUGUCAAUUAUCUUACAACAAAUUCAAUGUAAAAUAUUGUAGGGUGCAACACCGUCGUAACUUAUUACCAUAUAGCAUAACAUUGUCGUAAUAUAAUACCGCGGGACAUAAUAUUGACGUAAUAUUGCAGGAUGUAACAUCAUUCCCCCCUUUGGAACAUUCGUCCUUGAAUGUUGACUGACGUUCUUAUCAUUUUCGUAACGUACAGCUCUUAUGAAUACAUUAAUACUCUUCUUGUCAUUCAAGCAAUUGCUCUGUGAAUAAAUCCCAAGUUUAGGGUAUUAACCCCUUUAGUCCUUUUUGCUCGAUACUUUGUAGAACUUGUGAAUAUGGCCAUAUCUUGUUUCAUAUAUCUAGUUACCCAUUCACAUGACUUUACUGCAUUUACGUGGGUUAUACUAUGCCAUAAUUUUCACUUCAACCUACCUUUACUGAGGUACGCUUACCAAGCUCCCAGUUACUUUUGUUGCAUAUCUCUUAGGUAUAAAUAUCAGUCCUUUAAUGCUCCUUCAUUACCGUCCGUCUUAAGAACGACGGCCUAAUCUCAUCUCAUACUUGUGAAUUUUGUCCAUCCAUUAUUUAUUUGCCUCAAUAUUAAUCUACAAUAUACCAUUAUACCACUGAUAACUUGACCUUUUAGGUGUAACACUGUCGUUAGGGCCCAUGUCUCAUCAGGACAUCUGAAAUGAUUAGACUGAUCCACAUGGGGUUAUACCAGACGUUUAUAACUGUAUCUCAUAGCAUCCCAACGUGAUUCAUCUUAUGUGGGUAUUUUAAUCCCGUAUAAUUCAUGAAAUCCUCUUCAAAUCUUUACUCAAUCGAAGGCCCAAACUUCAUCCUUUAUCUUUCGCAAAUAUACCUUCAUUCUGUUACCAGGGCAGCAUUCUAUCUCGUCUAAAUGCUAUUAGUCUUAGACUCUUUUGAGUUCAUUCGGGUUAUACUGAACUUUCUAUAACUUAGAGAAACCAUUAUCUCUCUUGUUUCCAUGGACUUAAUCCUGAGGACUUUAUCCAUUCUCAUCACCUUCCCACUUGCCUUUUCUUAUCCUUAUUCUUGUCUUCCAGAACUCUAUCUCUUUACCAUUCCUUAUCUUGCGAUCUACACAUAUCUGUUUAUACUACUCACAACUUUUAUUCAACUUGCUUGCACCAUUGAUUUCCUUAUGUUAUUCUAGAUAUCAGGCAAAACAUUACAUCAUUUCUCACUCUUCUUUACUCUCUUAAUUACGUUUCUCGAUACCGAGAAACCAUAGGCUGUGAGAUAUGCCACUAUCAUUCCUGGAUAUUGAAUCCCAACACAUCUAGCCUUUUAUCCUAUGUAUGGACUAUUCACAUAUUCUGCUUUUGAGUAUCUCACACGCUGUUCACCUCUGCUUUCUUACCUUAAAAUCUCACAUUGUAUCUUCUAUCUCUUUCAUGACCUUCCUUCCACAUAGGUACAAUUCACGUCUAUACUUGAAGCUCUAUUAUAAUUUUUACACCUUUGGUGCAUACACAAUCCGGUGGGAGCUUCGUACUGACUUCUGAUGAGGCUGGUACUCUUCAGUUGGCUUCAUCAUAGAGCAAUUAUAAAAUGUCACUACUGUACUAUCUUUCUUAUACUUCUGCUACUUAAGAGUGAUCCGGAGGUCUAUAAUUCUUUUGGUCCUCCUAUUUUGCUUAGUAGAUGUAACUCUUUAGUCUCCUCUUUUUUUUCUGAUCAGCCUCCAUGUAGGCUUAAGAUAUCUUCUAACAUGCUGCUUCUGGUAUUAGUUAUUUUGUUUAUCCUUUCAUGGGCAUUGAGGAAUAUGCAUGAUACAAUCCUUUAACAAUUUAAUCCUUUGUUUAUGACCUAGGCUCUUUUAACGUAUACCAAAAUCUUCUACGGCUGUAUAUGCUGCAUAUAUAAAACUCCAAACCCUUAAGUGAGUUUGUAAUGUAACUAACUCUGGAUCAUUGAUCGAGUAAUUCCCUUUUUUUCCAUCUUAGCUCUCCUUAAACAUAAGCUAUUAUUUUUCCUCAUCUUUCUGCCCCGUUGUUGCGUCCAUACUUAGCUUAUCCUAGUGCCUAUAUAUAUUGAAAUUCCAUACAAUGCAUAUGAUCCUGAAUAUCACUUCUGAUUUUACUCCUUGUUCAUUAGCCACUGUAGGUGCCACUUUCUUAGGGAGUACAUAUAAUUUUAUUUUGAGACUGUUGUCACACGACCAUUUCCUCUUUAGGUCAUUGUACUGAGGUUGAAAUCUUCUUCCUUAUUUCAGCUAGUCUUUCGUCGUAGUACUUAGGGAAGACCCUCUAACGCUUGUAAAGAUGUGAGCUUAUUAUAUCGUAUUCCCGAUAGAUUUUUUUUUUAUGUUCAUGCUCACUUGUAAUUAUCCUUAGUUACUUACCUCCAUACUCAUCUGCUCGUACGGCUGCUUCUAAACUGAAGUUUUGACUGUCUUCCUAGUGGAACUGUCUUUUACUUCUGUAACACUCAUAUGGUACCUUUAACUACCCCAACUCCUAUUUUAAUAUUUCUCAAGUAUUUUAAUGAUAUUCUCCAAGGUUGAAUUCUCCAUGGUGGGUUCUGCUAUGUUUAUUUUACACGAUCUGAUGACUCGUCUGUAACUUCCUGUUUAGCCAUAACUGGGAUCCUAACCAAUUACUAACUACUCGUUGGCCCAUUCUCAUGUCAAUAUUCCUCGUAAUCUUUCUUGUGUUAUUUCCUUUGUCUUAACUUGCGUCUCGCACUGGCUCCAGAUUUACUAAUAACAGCUUGGAUAUGAACCUUUGCUCCCUCUCUUUGACGUCAUGCUUGCACAAUAUUCUUGAAUCGUAGCGUAUCUAUAAGAUUUGAAUAAGUGUCAUCUCAUUCAUGUUUCAUUUAUUGCAUUCUUCCUUUACCAUUCCAUAGUCACUAGAACUACUUAAUUCUGACUUAAUGCCACAUCACUCCAUAUUCCCCACUUUAGGGGUGUACUAAAAGUUGAAGCCACGAGGAUCUACCUAUAGAUGUUUUACCUCUUCAUCUUUGGUGUCGUCUCUCAAUAUCAAUGAUCCUUACUCGCCUUACGGCAAUUCUUCUGUACCAAGGAUGACAAAUUCCCUUAUUCGCGAGGGUGACACUUAGUGUAACUGGCACAUACAGUCUCUUAAACUUAACUUUGCUUACAUUGCUUGCUCUAGGGAAGCGUCUCCCUGAAUGACUAUUCUCUGAAUUCAUUGUGAAUCUUCUUCUGUGGUCCCUUCUAUUAUCGUCGGAACAAAAUCCAAAAUUCCCAUGAUGCUUAGUACUUUCCAAUCAUUCAGUCCCUAAUUCAUAUUUAGUUUAUCUUGUUUACCAGUCCAUACUAAUUUCUGUUACUCUGGAGAUUAACUCUCCCCUCUGGUAGUCGUGUUGGAGUCUCGAACUUAUUUCUUGAUACGAGGAUAUAACCUUAUGGCCUAUACUCUUUCCUUGUCUUAAGGACCAUCACCUUUUGUCUCUUUCUUCAUUUGACUAUAGGUUCUGUAACACUCUACUGUUUGCAUCCAUUUAUCACACCUUAUUUAUAAUGCUUCCUUAUCUCUCUUCUCAUUAUUCUGCUAAUAUUUCUGUAUAUCCCUUUUCUUGUGAAAACUUCAAUACGACAUUCUUAAGUUACUUAACGGUCUCGCUUUACUAGGGACACGAGCCACACUAAGGUAAUAUUUAUUCCAUCAAGGCUUAUAGUGCAUGUCUUUGUAUUACUCAUAUCUGGCUGCGCUAUUUUGGAGUGGACCAUCUAGGUGUCUCAUAAAGAGAUCUAUUAGCACAUUUGCAAUAUUCUUUGGAAAUGUCAACUGACACAAUCAAUUCAUCCAUCAUAUCUUCUUAUACUACUUUUGUUAACCCCCAUAGGGCAUGGCUGGGAUAGGUGUGGCCAAUUGUACGUACAUUUGUUAUUGUUGAAGGUAACUCAAAAUGUUUAUAUCUUCCUUCCUGAAUGAUAGUCUUUAUUAACUGGGUGCCUCGUACCCUUCUUCACCUUUCUUAUUUUACUUGUUGAAACUUGUGUCUAACUUCUGAUUCCGUUAUUCUUUUUUUACCAUAAGAGUGGAUAAGUAUUCUUGACAUAAAUCUCCUCAUCAAGAACCUUAUACGUCUUAGAACAUACAUGAUCUACUAAAGAUGGUACAUUUACUUAUCAUAUGCAUCAUGAAAAAUCGACUUCCUUUUACUCAACUCUUCCACAACUAUUUCUCUUCCCAACCCUCUUUCUGGAUGUAGGUAUCAUCUUAUUACAAAUAAUAAAUAAAAAAAAAUUUUGGAAUUUGACUUCUUAUAAGUGAGCUCUACCACACGAUCUAGAGUAAGAAGAAAGUGUGACAAUCCUAAAUGCCUUGUAGCCUCCUGCUUAUAAGUGUGGUGCACGACACACCCAUAAACAAGACUCUACUAGACACGGCUUGUAGACAUCCCUAAGAAAGAACUGCUCUGAUACCACUUUUGUCACGACCCAAACCGAUGGGCCGCGACGAGUGCCCGACGCCUUACUCAACCGAGCACCAACGUAACGUAUCUUUCUUAUCACAUCAUCAUAUACACGUGAAAUACAAGCCUAAUAGGCCAACAUAAUCAUUUAUAAACUCAAGACAUAGGCCGACAAGGCCAUACAAUCUUUCACAUACACGACAUAUGUCUACAAGCCUCUAAGAAUACAUAAAUGCCAUAAGGGUCGGGACAGAGUCCCGCCACACUAAACAAUACAGGUCUAAAUAAUACUAACCAGACGAGCAACUUCGAAGCAAAUGGAGCGCACCAACAUCUUCGGUUGAGCUGAUAGCGUACUUGGAGGGCUCUCAAUCUGUCUAUCAGGACCUGCGGGCAUGAAACGUAGCGUCCCCAGGCAAAAGGGACGUCAGUACGAAUAAUGUACCAAGUAUGUGAGGCAUGGAAGCAUAAACAAGAACAGUAAUGUAAAGAGAGACAGAUGAGAUACAACCUGUAACAUUUGAGUGCCUUUGGGGGCUACUAAUAUGAAAUGUAUAAUACAUAUAUAUACAUAAACUUUUUUUUUAAACAUUCGCCUCUAUGUUCAUCAUCAUCAUCAUAUCGUACUCGGCCUCAAAGAGGACUCGGUAAAAACAUACCUGGCCAUCAAUAGGCUCGGUAGAAUCGUACCCAGCCACAUGGAGCUCGGUAAUCCAACUGAUCAGUGGUUGCACAAUAGGUGUCGUACCCGGCCGACUAUAGCGCGGCUCGGUAGAGUAAAAUAUAUACAUAUAUAUUCUGAACCUUUCGGAGUGACAUAAGGUCGAUAUUUUCCGUACACAUUAUUAUGAAUAACUCUUGAUCAAGAAUCUUAUAAGAGUCAGAAGUACCAACAACAUUGAUAACAUAAGGAUAAGAGAAACAACAUCAACAUUAAUCGCUCCAUAAGAAGGGAAACAAUGUAAGUACUGCUAGCUUCUAAGAGUGGAGUAUCUUUGGGAGCUCGUUCAUUACGUUAUGUACAAUCGGAGUCAUGCAAAAUAAGGAAAUGAAUAGUAGUAGGAGAUAAUAGACGAUGAAGCAUAAGUUAAUAGCCUAAAUCUUCAAAAAUAUAUUAGAUACCUUAGUAUCUGAUCAUUGUCAUGGCUAAGUUGUGAUCCUAAAUAGAUGGGACCACACAGAUUGCUAUUAAACUAUGUCCAUGAGACAAGCAUAAUAGAUGCUAUGGAAAUCUCUUAAAACAAAUCAUGUACCAAAGGCCAUAAGACAUAGUGGAACUCCAGGAGAAAACGAACAGAAUAAAUUUCAAAGCCAAUGUCUUCAUAUGUGCAAGUAGAUAACCUUUAUUAAAAAUGCAGUACGGAUGGAAAUGGACUAUGUUGCUCGUUUAGUUUGUAUCGUACAGAUCAUGCCAAAAUGAAGAAAGGACAUAGCCUUAACAUACUUGGAGUAGGAACAAUUCCGUAUAUUUAUCCCGUUGGAAACCUUCGUGGAGUGAACUUAGACCCAAAAAUUGGAUUUAGGCUUCUGCAUUUUCAAACUUGUGGAACGAAAUUGGCCUGAUUUUUCUGAAAAUUUGGACGAAAAUUGCUUCAAUUGAAGCUUUUGUUUGAAAAUGGAAAUGCUUCUGCUUUUUAAUUAUUCUUGGCAUCUAAAGUCAAAAGCAGAUUGAUAAAGAGACCAAAGAAAA